CGACUAAGGUUCGACUUGAGCGCCAGCGAGAGAGCGUUGCCGCAGGCAACGACCCGAAGGGCGAAGCGCGCAGCGCUGAGUAAUCCUUCCCCCACCACCA
rnacentral:sRNA from 1 species